rnacentral:rRNA from 1 species
AUUGAACGCUGGCGGCAUGCUUUACACAUGCAAGUCGAACGGCAGCGCGGGCUUCGGCCUGGCGGCGAGUGGCGAACGGGUGAGUAAUGCAUCGGAACGUGCCCAGUAGUGGGGGAUAGCCCGGCGAAAGCCGGAUUAAUACCGCAUACGACCUGAGGGUGAAAGCGGGGGACCGAAAGGCCUCGCGCUAUUGGAGCGGCCGAUGUCGGAUUAGCUAGUUGGUGGGGUAAAGGCUUACCAAGGCGACGAUCCGUAGCUGGUCUGAGAGGACGACCAGCCACAUUGGACUGAGACCCCGGCCCGACUUCCUAGGGAGGCCAGCGUUGGGAAAUUUGGACAAAUGGGGGCAACCCUGACCAGCCAUGCCGCGUGCGGGAAGAAGGCCUUCGGGUUGUAAACCGCUUUUGUUCGGGAAGAAAUCCUCUGGGCUAAUACCCCGGGGGGAUGACGGUACCGGAAGAAUAAGCACCGGCUAACUACGUG